AGGUUUUGAGUGAAUAAUAGCUGUAGUCAGCUUUUAGGAGAAAAGUAAUGAUCUCAUUUUGUCACAUGAAAUGAAAAUGUGUGCCUGCCAAGGUCAUGUCACAUUGUUUUUAUUUUUUCUGAUUGUGCUAGAGCUAAUGAUGCAGUCUUUUUAUGGCAGUGUAUGACCAAAAAAAAAAAAAAAAGACUAGUCUCUUAAAACUUUAGGGAGUUUUGGAUACUUUAGGAUAGGAUAUUGUUAACCUGAAUGUGUUUCUUCCAUUUCCUUUGAGUGAACAUGUUUAUUUUUAAAAAAUAAAAGCACAGUGUGUAUGUGAAUACCACAUAUUGUGGCAGAUGGGUGUGAGAGUGGGUAAUGAUAAUAAUAGUUAAAGAAUCUAGAUAUAUGACUCUUACAUGUUGUAAUUCUAGAUAAGGACAGAGUGAGUAGUAAGCUGUAAUUGGGCUUCCCUGGUGGAUUCUUUACCAGAUGAGCUUUCAGGGAAGGCACCUGGAAAGUCCUUAAAACCUUUAAUGAAAUAGUUUUCUUGGACUUUGGUGAAUGGUCUAUCCUCUGUGUAGUAAAAGUUGGAAAGGACAAAAAAUUGGUCAUUAUUUUUGGGGACCAAGAUUUCCUGAGGUGGGGGUGGAUUCAGUGACUUCAUAGGUCACUUUAUCUAAUUUCUUUGAAUAGUAUUUGAGGCAGUGGUUCAGAAUCUGACUCAGCCUUUUACUGAAUUGAUGAGACAUCCCUUAUAGCCUUUUGGGGAUUUCUCAAGGACACCAACUUGGCAUGGCCUGGGCAAGGAUGUGGUGUUUUAGGUUACUUAGGCUUAUUUUUGUUUGACUACUGAUUAAAAUUUAAGCAGACUUGAUAAUGGCUUUGUAACUUAGAAAAUGUAUUGUGAAACAAAACAAAUAAGCAAACAACAGAAAAAAGAAAACUUGCCUUGUAGUAAUCAGGUUUUUAUUAUUUCCUACUUUAUUAUUUUUGUCAGCCCAACUCUUCUAGGUUGAGUUUUCCAAACAAAAAUACCUUUAAAAAAAAACAAGUGAACAAAACUAUUUCAUGUAGAGUACCAAAAAAAAGAAAAAGAAAAUGUGUUUUUGCAAUUGUUGAUAGAUAUAUCUAAACAUUGUCCUGAUGAAUAAGUGGCAAAGUAAUGUGUAAAUAAUUUUCUUUUAAUGAAAACAAACAAAAGCCAAGAUCUGUAUAUGAACAUUGAGUAUGAUUGUUGUAAGUGUCUAUUAAAUUAACACUAGUUACCCUAAGGAAAUUAGAUGGGGUGUGGCUGUAAUUGUUUUUUUCUUAUAACCUCUGUGUUGGGUAAAUUGUAACAAGUAUAUGUUAACUUUCAUAGUUAAAAAGAAACAUCAAGGUGUAAAAUUGCCACAGAUGAUGAUUUUAGCAUACUAUUUAGCUCUGGUGAAUAUCAGGAAAUUCAUUUUCCAAAAGUUUCCUUUCAUGGAGUCUCUCAAAUACUGGUAAGAGUAUUCUUAUAUCUGUCAGAUGAUAGACUAGAUUAGCUCGCUUUUUGGUAUUUGAAAUGCUUGUUAACAACUAUAAAAAGAGUAGUUCUGUCUGGGAACUUAUUCUUCUUCUUCCUACCAACUCUGUUAAUCCUUAAGAUCUUAGUUUAGGGCUACUUCUAAGAAGCAUCUUCUGAUUCCUCAGUAUUAAAUUAAGUGCUUUCCCCUUGUUCUAAUUUUUCUAGUUUCAUAGCACAAUGUGAGGAUUUGAGCCUAUAAACUAUUAUCAGUUGAAGUCAUUACAAAUAUUACUUCCUAUUACUUGGGAAGCCUGAUACAGAUUCAGAGCUCUAAAUAGUUUUUCUCAAGGUCUUCCAGUUAUUACUCUGCCUUUCAAAUAUAGUCUCUUCUUUUGAGCAUUAGUAUUUCUUGCCAGUCCAACAUACUUAUCAUUAUUGUUAAUAAUUUUGAACCCUCAGAUACCUUACUGUUAAGUUGAGGAAGCAUAAUUUAUACAAUAACUCUGCAGACUAAGGCCAGGCUGCUUCGUUUAGCACCUUUCAUCCCUUAUGAAGUAAGGUUUUUGGUUUGGGUCAAGAGUUCCAGUUUCUGACCUGGUUCGCUGGGUAUGCCUUUGCAUCCCCUACCAGAAGUCUAUAUAAAUGACACUAUGGAUCAACCAUGACGUAGCAUAGGUGCUGGUCUGAUCUGAGAGCCCACCUUAGUUAGUAAUUUUUUAGACUGCCUUUUCUCCACCUCCAUUCUUAGUUUCUUUUUGCCCUCUCCAUAUUUUUUUCCCCUAGUCCUUAACUUAUGAGUGCAAGGAUUACCUGAAAUUUGUUUAGCUUUUAAUAACGCUAGUAUGCUGUGCUGACAUUGUCAACUAGCCUGGUAUCUCAUUUUCUGGCCCUUUUCCUCUUCUGGAGCAAAAGUGGGAAUACUAUAAUGUUGCACUCACGUCCUUAGUUCCCCAACCAGGGAUUAGACCCAUGGCCCCUGCAGUGGAAGCCCAGAGUCUUACCCACUGGACCUCCAGGGGAGUCUCUGCUCUCAUGUCCUCUUAAUAGGGAGUUCUGUUACCUACUAGAAGGGUAGAAAUAAGUACCAUGUUAACCUUGGGAAGAUAGGCUGUCUUUUUCUUUCUAAAAUUCAGUAUUUUACAUUUUAAUACCCCUAUGUUGGUUUUUCAGGCUAUAAUCAGUUUCUUGGGUUAGAUUAGGAAGUGUCUUCAUAACAGACUCACAAUGUGAUAGUGUUAUAUAGAUUUUUACCUUUCCUUUAUAAAGAUGAUUGAUCAGGUUCUGGGAGCAAAUGUCACAGUUUCAUCCUCGUGGUGAUUAGCAGACCAAUGAUGCUACUCCAAUUGAAGAGAAAAAAUAAAAUGAUGCCUUUAGUAUGGUAGAGUAACCAUGUUGUUUAUGUCAUUGAGGGAAUUCAUUAUUUUUUUUAAAAAUA